rnacentral:rRNA from 1 species
GAAUAUUGGACAAUGGGGGGAACCCUGAUCCAGCCAUGCCGCGUGUGUGAAGAAGGCCUUUCGGUUGUAAAGCACUUUAAGCGAGGAGGAGGCUACUUAGAUUAAUACUCUAGGAUAGUGGACGUUACUCGCAGAAUAAGCACCGGCUAACUCUGUGCCAGCAGCCGCGGUAAUACAGAGGGUGCAAGCGUUAAAUGGAGUUACUGGGCGUAAAGCGCGCGUAGGUGGCCAAUUAAGUUAAAUGGUAAAACCCCGGGCUUAACCUGGGAAUUGCAUUGGAUACUGGUUUGGUAGAGUAUGGGAGAGGAUGGUAGAAUUCCAGGUGUAGGGGGGAAAUGCGUAGAGAUCUGGAGGAAUACCGAUGGCGAAGGCAGCCAUCUGGCCUAAUACUGACACUGAGGUGCGAAAGCAUGGGGAGCAAACA